rnacentral:rRNA from 1 species
CCUACGGGGGGCAGCAGUGGGGAAUAUUGCACAAUGGGGGAAACCCUGAUGCAGCGACGCCGCGUGAGUGAAGAAGUAAUUCGUUACGUAAAGCUCUAUCAGCAGGGAAGAAACACUGACCUUACGGUCAGCAGACGGUACCUGAGUAAGAAGCCCCGGCUAACUACGUGCCAGCAGCCGCGGUAAUACGGAGGGGGCAAGCGUUAUCCGGAUGUACUGGGUGUAAAGGGAGCGUAGACGGUGCGCCAAGUCUGGAGUGAAAUGCCACAGCUUAACUGGGGAACUGCUUUGGAAACUGGCGAACUAGAGUGCGGGAGGGGUAAGCGGAAUUCCUAGUGUAGCGGUGAAAUGCGUAGAUAUUAGGAGGAACACCGGUGGCGAAGGCGGCUUACUGGACCGUAACUGACGUUGAGGCUCGAAAGCGUGGGGAGCAAACAGGAUUAGAUACCCGAGUAGUC